ACCUAAUCUUAGAACUCUCUCCAUUAUGUCAGGUUUCAUGAGGACAGUGAAUGAGUUCUUUUGUUUGGGCUUUCCAUUGAUGCCUGAUGGGUUUUGGAGACAACCAAAAUGGCCUCUAAAUUGUCUUGAGAUGGUUGAGAUAAUUGCAUUUUCUGCCAACCACUGCGAAAUGGAUCUCCUAAAAUUCUUGUUGAGAAAUGGGGUGGUCUUAGAGAAA